GCCUCGGUGGCUCCGAGGCGAGAGCGCCGGCCUACGGAUGUGUUGGUGGCGGGUUCGAAUCCCGACCGAGGUG
rnacentral:tRNA from 1 species